rnacentral:rRNA from 1 species
UGGGGUAAAGGCCUACCAAGGCGACGAUCCAUAGCUGGUCUGAGAGGAUGAUCAGCCACACUGGGACUGAGACACGGCCCAGACUCCUACGGGAGGCAGCAGUGGGGAAUAUUGGACAAUGGGCGCAAGCCUGAUCCAGCCAUGCCGCGUGAGUGAUGAAGGCCCUAGGGUUGUAAAGCUCUUUCACCGGUGAAGAUAAUGACGGUAACCGGAGAAGAAGCCCCGGCUAACUUCGUGCCAGCAGCCGCGGUAAUACGAAGGGGGCUAGCGUUGUUCGGAUUUACUGGGCGUAAAGCGCACGUAGGCGGACUAUUAAGUCAGGGGUGAAAUCCCGGGGCUCAACCCCGGAACUGCCUUUGAUACUGGUAGUCUUGAGUUCGAGAGAGGUGAGUGGAAUUCCCAGUGUAGAGGUGAAAUUCGUAAAUUUUCGGAGGAACACCAGUGGCGAA